CUUAAUCAGCUCAAAAGGCCCAUUUGUUGCCUGGUGACAAAUAUAUGCUGGCUAUUUCAACAUCAUUCAAGCCAUGCAUAAUUAUCUUACUAAGGAAGCAGAAAUAUGACUCUAGGACUCCUUGAAGCAUGUGGAAACAAAUUUAAGUUGUAUUGUCAUAGUAAGAAUUUCCUUUACAAAAGAGCAACACAAACAAUAAAAUACCCACUAUGAGUAGACUUCCUUCUGCACUUAAACUGACCCGGAAUAAUUAAAAUUCACUAGGUAAAUUUAUUGCCAAUUUACACUGUUUUUCUCAACAUGCUUCCAAAUUCUUUAAGACUAGCUCUUUCAGAAAGCCUUGCUGCCUCAUAAAACUCCUUCAAAGACAAAGUAUUUCUUGAUUUGGCAGAAUUUCAAGCCUAAAAAACCAUUCCUUACUAUCAGAGGUUAAUGGAUGAUAGUAUUAUGUGUGCACACUGGGAACAGAACAGUUAAACCA
rnacentral:lncRNA from 1 species